rnacentral:rRNA from 1 species
AUACGUAGGGGGCGAGCGUUGUCCGGAAUGAUUGGGCGUAAAGGGCGCGUAGGCGGCCCGGUAAGUCUGGAGUGAAAGUCCUGCUUUCAAGGUGGGAAUUGCUUUGGAGACUGGAUGGCUUGAGUGCGGAAGAGGUAAGUGGAAUUCCCAGUGUAGCGGUGAAAUGCGUAGAGAUUGGGAGGAACACCAGUGGCGAAGGCGACUUACUGGGCCGUAACUGACGCUGAGGCGCGAAAGCGUGGGGAGCGAACAGGAUUAGAUACCCUGGUAGUCCACACUGUAAACGAUGAAUGCUAGGUGUAGGGGGUAUCGACCCCUUCUGUGCCGCAGUCAACACAAUAAGCAUUCCGCCUGGGGAGUACGGCCGCAAGGUUGAAACUCAAAUGAAUCGACGGGG